rnacentral:rRNA from 1 species
GAUGAACGCUGGCGGCGUGCCUAAUACAUGCAAGUCGAGCGAACAGACGAGGAGCUUGAUCCUCUGACGUUCGCGGCGGACGGGUGAGUAACACGUGGAUACCCUACCUAUAAGACUGGGAUAACUUCGGGAAACCGGAGUUAAUACCGGAUCAUAUAUUGAACUGCAUGGUUCAAUAGAGAAAGACGGUUUUGCUGUGCCUUAUAGACGGUUACCCGCCGCAUUAGCUAGUUGGUAAGGUAACGGCUUACCAAGGCAACGAUGCGUAGCCGACCUGAGCGGGUGAUCGGCCACGCUGGAACUGAGACACGGUCCAGAGUCCUACGGGAGGCAGCAGUAGGGAAUCUUGCGCAAUGGGCGAAAGCCUGACGGAGCAACGCCGCGUGAGUGAUGAAGGUCUUCGGAUCGUAAAACUCUGUUAUUAGGGAAGAAAAAAUGUGUAAGUAACUAUGCACGUAUUGACGGUACCUAAAGAGAAAGCGACGGCUAACUACGUG